UUGCUUGCUUCGGCAGCACAUAUACUGAAAUUGGAAUGAUACAGAGAAGAUUAGCCUGGCCCCUAUGCAAGGAUGACAUACAAAUUCAUGAAGCAUUCCAUAUUUUU
rnacentral:snRNA from 1 species